rnacentral:tRNA from 1 species
GCGCGGUUACCCGAGCGGUAAGGGGCUAGCCUAGAGAGCUAGUAGUGCAGAAAUGCCAACAUCGGUUCGAUUCCGAUACCGCGCGCCA